CUAACAGUACUUGAAUGCAUCACAUCUUUGUCACAGCCUGGCAAAGCCAGGCGGGAAAUCUUUAGGCCAGUCCAAUGGAACAUAUUCACCCCCGCUUCCUUUUCCCUCUUUUUCACAAGAGGAGUAGGCAGCCUUCGGUUGAAUCACAAUGCUCUCUUUCAGAGAAAGUGACUUGUAGGAAUUUGUAGAGAAAACAUUAAAAAAGCGAUUGAGGACAACGGCAAAAUCUCGUUGAAUGAUGACCCCUGCUGGAAGACUGAAAACUAUUGGUACCACCAAAAAGCCCCCAUUAACCAUGGAGAGUGACUGUGCAAGCAGGAAUCAGCUCUCUGCCUCUCAAGAGCUGUGUCACACAUUGCACUUUAAUAAAAAGUCUGUCUGUUUCCAAGCAGUCACCCCGCCCCAUGAGGGAAGUGUGAAAAGCACAAUCAAAGCGACGGCGUGGCAUCUGCGGGGGGAAAACAGGCCUAAUUGAUUUCCUUUGUGUCCACGUCCUUCCCGUGGGAGAGGAGGAAGGUGAGGAAACGACACGCACAGAAAGAGAGAGAGCCGGGGAGACGGGACUUUCUGAAGACGUGCUGCAGUACAUAGAGCCAAACUCUCAGAUGCACCAGGGAAGACACCUGCAGAGCACAGCUCCAAGCAGAGCUCUGCAUCAGUGCUCCUGACUGCAGAACAUCUGGCAGAGGAGCAGUGGAUUCAAAUCGAACAUCUGCACGGCAGCAUGCAGCCAAGAAAGCAGUUCUAAUGAAAGCAGGAACGGCUCCCUAACACACCACUACAGCUAUACUAUUCAUUUGUCCUUUAAUUGGGACCAUAUUUACGGAUUGGCAGUUAGCUGUAAACAGCUAAGGUAUAAGAUGUCUCAAUGCUACACAGAACGAGGGAGGGUUCUCCAAAGGUGGAGCUUUUUGUUGGCGUACAAUGAGGGUAAGCCAACAAAAACUUCACAUUAGACCAAAGUGGGAGAUAAUGAGAAAAUAUAAAAGAAAGAAAUAAAAAAGACACAAACAGGAAGACAUAAAUGAAGAGCCAAUCAAAGCUAAAAGUAAAUGUUAAAAAAUGUGUAGCCACCAGAGGGGAUGUUGAUUUGAGAUUUAGGAAGAGGAAAAUGAUGAAGGGGAGAAGAAGACAUCAAAUUUCUGAAGGUUUGAGAUCUCAUGUUAAACCUAAAAGGAGGAAUAGAUAUUAUGAAAUCAGUUAAAAUAGCAUAUAAGUAGGCAAAUAA